GCGAGUGAAGCGGCAAAAGCUCAAAUUUGAAAUCUGGCACCUUCGGUGUCCGAGUUGUAAUUUGAAGAUUGUAACCUUGGGGUUGGCUCUUGUCUAUGUUUCUUGGAACAGGACGUCACAGAGGGUGAGAAUCCCGUGCGAUGAGAUGCCCAAUCCUAUGUAAGGUGCUUUCGAAGAGUCGAGUUGUUUGGGAAUGCAGCUCUAAGUGGGUGGUAAAUUCCAUCUAAAGCUAAAUAUUGGCGAGAGACCGAUAGCGAACAAGUACAGUGAUGGAAAGAUGAAAAGAACUUUGAAAAGAGAGUGAAAAAGUACGUGAAAUUGUUGAAAGGGAAGGGUUUGAGAUCAGACUCGAUAUUUUGUGAGCCUUGCCUUCGUGGCGGGGUGACCCGCAGCUUAUCGGGCCAGCAUCGGUUUGGGCGGUAGGAUAAUGGCGUAGGAAUGUGACUUUGCUUCGGUGAAGUGUUAUAGCCUGCGUUGAUGCUGCCUGCCUAGACCGAGGACUGCGAUUUUAUCAAGGAUGCUGGCAUAAUGAUCCCAAACCGCCCGUCUUGAAACACGGACCAAGGAGUCUAACGUCUAUGCGAGUGUUUGGGUGUUAAACCCGUACGCGUAAUGAAAGUGAACGUAGGUGAGGGCUCUUUUGAGUGCAUCAUCGACCGAUCCUGAUGUCUUCGGAUGGAUUUGAGUAAGAGCAUAGCUGUUGGGACCCGAAAGAUGGUGAACUAUACCUGAAUAGGGUGAAGCCAGAGGAAACUCUGGUGGAGGCUCGUAGCGGUUCUGACGUGCAAAUCGAUCGUCGAAUUUGGGUAU
rnacentral:rRNA from 1 species